UGUAAGGCAAAGCCAGAGGGCAUUUAAAUAGAUAAAAUCCCUGGAAGUCAUCAGUAGGACCUACCUUACUGAUUGGGAAUGCCUUAAGCAUGACAUCCUCUUUGCUGCUUUCAAGUCAGGGAAGAAUCUCCAUUGCAAACAUGACAUUCACUGCAACCAUUGCUGGAGUAACCUCAGCUGCUACCAGCAGCAUUGAGCCCUCAAGGCCAGACGUACAAAGCUGAAGGACUCUCCUGUCAAGAAAAAUAUACUAUGACCUGGUAAAAGAUAAAGAGAAUCUUAGAAAGCUUCC